UAUCACUGGAUUAUUAAUCUAUUAGACACAUGACUCACAAAUGAUAUCCUAAAAUAAUUAGAUUAUCAAUUGCAUCACUAUAAUUAUUUUAAUACUAUGAUCAGCACAGUCCAAACAUUUUCCAUGUAAAUCAAUGGUUAAAAAUAGUUGGUUAAUCACUCAUAUCUUGUGCCUGUGGUCCAUCCUAGACUUGGAAUUUCAUUAUUUUUUGUCAAAAGUACAUAUUUCAGGAGGCUUAUUAUAACUAUUGUGUCAAAAAUUGCAUAAGUUCACUAAUUAGAGAUAUUAAAGUUGAUUUAGUAAUUAAAUUCAAAUCCAUUCAAAUAGAAUAUGAAUAGCUUCUUUUGGAUCAAAGCUGAUUCUCAAUCCAGGUGCCAAACACAGCAAGAGGAUUGAUUUCAACUUUAGGUGCCAAACACAACAAGAGAAUUUCAAAUUCAAGGGGUUUCAAGUCCAAGCUCCCAACCAGGCCCUUAGAUUAUUGGGGGUAUGCUAACAUAUUUGCCACUUCUACAUUUGGCCCUCAAGCUCCCUUGAUCAUGUGACCAUGAUAGAAUUUUUCUGUGGCCACACUUGCAAAGGCCUAGAUUCAAAUAUGUCAAAGCAAGAAACUUCACGAGACCAUGAUAUGCAGAUUACCGCUUAUUUCUGAUUCUCCUAUGGUAUUGACUUCCAACAUCUAAUUCAGAUUUGUUUAUAAUCAUGAUUCAUAAUCCCUUCUACUCCCGGCUGCAAUGGUUAUCUUAUUUUCCAGCUCAAGAUCUAGGAAUCCUUCUGAAACAUCCUAGCCCUUUCACUACCUUCCUAGCAAAACCCAACAAAGUGAAUGAGAUUAAGAUGCAGGAUCAUCCCAAUUGUGCUCACUUCCACCCGAAAUUGCUGCUCUCCUUAAGACUUCUUGAGUUUCUUCAAUGCUAUCGCUGUUGAAUCAUGCAGUGUCAUUCAAAAACAGAACUGAACCCACUUGCUCCCAAUUUCUACUAGGAAUUCUUGGCUUCUUGUUGCAAUUCUCUAUAGCUAGAUAGGAGCAAAGUACCUUGCCUGCAUACAACUCUUUAACAGAUCUCUGCGAGACAGAUAAGGAACUCUUCCCUGGCUUUCACCAUCAGAGAUCUCCAUUCCACACCAAAACCUGCCAUCAUAUGCAGAAGCACUACAAGAACAGUCAAAGCUACUUGGCAUUCAUUUGGAGUCCUCGCUUCAAAUGGCUGAGAAUUAACAGUUAAACCAUGUUGGAUGUCCUUGAAAAUCCAUCUUCACCAUUGAUAAACCUGUCACCACCACAUUGCUUCGCAGAUCUCAUACAUCCCCUGCCAAUUGGUCAUUCUCUCUUCUUUCAACGACAGAGGAUCAAAACCACCUGAACACGGAAAGAAUGGCAACCCCUUGUGAUCACAGAUGCUGAAUGGCCCACAGAGCGAAUAGACAUCACACUCAUCUAGUGGCUGUGACAAAAAAAAACAAAAAAUACCUCUUCUGUGUGGAAAUCUCCAACGAUGUGUAUUGCUUGGUCUGUCCCAAUACAUCCAUUACAAGUGUCGAAAUAAUACUGCUCUUACAAACAUAAUAACUGAAUUUGUUCCCUUUCAUAUCUGAGUUGUAAUUGAAACUGUAUAUUUACAUCAAUGUCAUUUCCGCUAUUAAGCUGAAAAUCUGACCAUUCCAAGACCCACUAGUCCAAUACUGUUGAGAUGCAUUCCAUUUGAUUCUGUAUCUUCCAUGAAAUAAGUGGGUUUUCUCCUGUUAUCUUAUUCAGUCAACACCAUCCACCUGGCAGCCAUGUAUCUGUUGCUGAUCAAAGCUUUGCAGAUGACAGGAGAUGGAUCAGACCCACCUCUCCAAAAGAGGUUUCCAGUGUCUACUAUUCUUCUGCAGCAGAAUUUGAGAACCCAAAUUCCCAUAUGGAAGAUCGGAUUCUUGAAAAGAAGACAUAAAGGAAAGGAAAACAGAAGGAUGGAAUGGCUUUGAUGGUAGGUAUUGUAUCCCUAGGAGCAUAUGCAAUGACACGGAAGAGAUUUGAAGAAGAUAUGGAAGAGAGCUGGAAGUUUUUUUUUUAUUGAUAGAAAGGGGAUGCUUAAAUAUGAUUGUCAUGUUCCUCUUGUCCAAACUAAUUCUCAUUGUAAUGGCUGAUUCGAUGAUUUUAUUCCAACUCAUUGGCCAAAAUACCACCAUAAUGAUUUGAAAGAGUAUGAAGGGGACAUGAAAUUUGUCUAGAAUCUACUCUUGGGCAAUUUAUUUUUAGCAUUACCAUCACUUGGAAGCUGUUACAAUAUCCACUUAAGUCUGUGGUUGAAGGACUAAAGAUUCCAAAUUGUAAUUGUAUUACUUUCUAGUUGGACUUUAAGGACAUGUGACUGAGAUUUGAGAGCUACUUAAAAGAUGGGUUGGAUGGCA